AUUGAACGCUGGCGGCAUGCUUUACACAUGCAAGUCGAACGGCAGCGGGGGCUUCGGCCUGCCGGCGAGUGGCGAACGGGUGAGUAAUGCAUCGGAACGUGCCCAGUCAUGGGGGAUAACUACGCGAAAGCGUAGCUAAUACCGCAUACGCCCUGAGGGGGAAAGCGGGGGAUCGCAAGACCUCGCGUGAUUGGAGCGGCCGAUGUCGGAUUAGCUAGUUGGUGGGUAAAGGCCUACCAAGGCGACGAUCCGUAGCGGGUCUGAGAGGAUGAUCCGCCACACUGGGACUGAGACACGGCCCAGACUCCUACGGGAGGCAGCAGUGGGGAAUUUUGGACAAUGGGGGCAACCCUGAUCCAGCCAUGCCGCGUGAGUGAAGAAGGCCU
rnacentral:rRNA from 1 species